CCUACGGGUGGCAGCAGUGGGGGAUAUUGCACAAUGGGGGAAACCCUGAUGCAGCGACGCCGCGUGAGUGAAGAAGUAUUUCGGUAUGUAAAGCUCUAUCAGCAGGGAAGAAAAUGCCAGUACCUGACCACGAAGCCACGGCUAACUACGAGCCAACAGCCGCGGUACAACGUAGGGGGCACGCGUUAACCGGAUUUACUGGGGGUAAAGGGAGCGUAGGGGGUUAUGUAAGUCUGGAGUGAAAGCCGGGGGCCCAACCCCGGGACUGCUUUGGAAACUGGGUAACUGGAGUACAGGAGGGGCAGGCGGAAUGCCUGGUGUAGCGGUGAAAUGCGUAGAUAUCAGGAGGAACACCGGCGGCGAAGGCGGCAUGCUGGACUGAAACUGACGUUGAGGCUCGAAAGCGUGGGGAGCAAACAGGAUUAGAUACCCGAGUAGUC
rnacentral:rRNA from 1 species